GACGAACGCUGGCGGCGUGCUUAACACAUGCAAGUCGAACGGAAAGGCCCUGCUUUUGUGGGGUGCUCGAGUGGCGAACGGGUGAGUAACACGUGAGUAACCUGCCCUUGACUUUGGGAUAACUUCAGGAAACUGGGGCUAAUACCGGAUAGGAGCUCCUGCUGCAUGGUGGGGGUUGGAAAGUUUCGGCGGUUGGGGAUGGACUCGCGGCUUAUCAGCUUGUUGGUGGGGUAGUGGCUUACCAAGGCUUUGACGGGUAGCCGGCCUGAGAGGGUGACCGGCCACAUUGGGACUGAGAUACGGCCCAGACUCCUACGGGAGGCAGCAGGGGGGAAUAUUGCACAAUGGGCGGAAGCCUGAUGCAGCAACGCCGCGUGCGGAAUGACGGCCUUCGGGUUGUAAACCGCUUUCGCCUGUGACGAAGCGUGAGUGACGGUAAUGGGUAAAGAAGCACCGGCUAACUACGUG
rnacentral:rRNA from 1 species